UGGGGAAUAUUGGACAAUGGGGGCAACCCUGAUCCAGCAAUGCCGCGUGUGUGAAGAAGGUCUUCGGAUUGUAAAGCACUUUCGACGGGGACGAUGAUGACGGUACCCGUAGAAGAAGCCCCGGCUAACUUCGUGCCAGCAGCCGCGGUAAUACGAAGGGGGCUAGCGUUGCUCGGAAUGACUGGGCGUAAAGGGCUGUAGGCGGUUUACACAGUCAGAUGUGAAAUCCCCGGGCUUAACCUGGGAGCUGCAUUUGAUACGUGUAGACUAGAGUGUGAGAGAGGGGU
rnacentral:rRNA from 1 species